CAGCUCAGGUUUUUCUUCAUUAAUGCAUAGAUCUUUCACCUUUUGCUAAAGAUUUCUGUGGAGAGAAAUGCUAACGAGCUUAAUGUAUUUUUGCAGGCUUUGUUCUGGCAGGGCU